AGUUGCAAUUCUCUGUCCCUCAGCUCUGGGCAGAGAAGGGGGGGAGCGGUGGUGCAGGGGCUGAGGAGGGGCUGUGGAGGGUCUCUUCGCCCUCCUCAUCCUCUCCUCCUUGUCCCGGCCCUGAGUGCCGCCCCAGAAGGGGUCUAGGGAAUGUUGUGAGCUAGGACACACUGGGGAGGGCACAAACUGGAAGAAGCAAGAGACGUCGCCAAGGACCCAAUCCCUCUCCUUCCAAUUCCCCGGCCGGGCUGGCCCCCCUGGCCACUCCUUCUAUAGUGCCCACUCAGCCCCGGGCAGUCCCGGGCUCACAGCCUGGCCCUUUGCCCCGGGGGAUUAAAUGUCCCCUCUCUGGAGCACUGCUUCGCCCCCCACUUUGGGGAAGGUGACCCGACUCCUACUUCCCUGGGGCUUGCUCUGAAUGAGGAGCCUUCGCCCUCGGGGGUGCCCUUCCCACCUUGAUGGCAGAGUUUGCGCUCCUCUUGGGACCGUUUGAAAGAAGGACAAACUUUUGAGUGGAUCAAAAUCAAGAAGAGCCGGUCCGGAGCAGAAAAGCCUUCCUCACCUCCAGCCAUCUGCAGCCCUGUCCCUGCCCACGGAGGUGGAGUUGUUGGUGCCCCCAAGGCCAUCGCUUUCCCAGGGGUUUUUAGGGGUCCCCUUGCCCUUGGAUGGAGAGACUGGUCGAUUCUGGCUCUUGGCUGUCUCUCCAAGGAACAACUCUGACUAGCUGGGCCCACCGCCAUCCACACCUGCUCAGCAAAGAAGGAAGGUCACUCAUUCCAGGUCUUGGUGGAACAGAUGCAGACUGUCUGCCCAGAGCAGCUCCCUUGUCCCUACCUGGCCCAGCGGGGAAGGAAGGAACCCUGUUCACUUCGCAGGACCCGGAAUCUCAGUGCAGAGCCGACAGCUGCAGUUGCCUCCUGGAGCCUGACACUGGAAGCAUCUUCUGCCUUUGGGCUCUCCUUGUUGCCUUGGCCUCUUCUCUGUUCAGUUUGCCACUGUGUUUUUCUCCCUCAUAUGGGAGUGGAGGGAAACAGGGAAAUGGAAUGUUUCUCCCUUGCCCCUAAUCCUUCCUCACAGCCCCACCAAACCUUACAGCUGCCAUGGUAAGGAACGGCAGCUUCCAGCCUUGCUUACAAGCUGCUCAAAGCAAAUUCAAAUUCUCUUCAGGGCAGGAAGAAGGGCAGAUGCUCCUACCUCAGGCCUCCCUUGUUCAUUGAUCCAUUUUGAGGGCAAUUGGGGGUCAAAAUUGAGACCAGAUUGCUUCAAUUGGUACAAAAUUAGAAUGUCUUAUCAUACCAGAGGCCCAAAUUCCUUGCAUCAAGGAAUAGUUGAUUUUCACCUAGACCUGCACCUCUUCUCUGGCCUCUCAAACCAGUGAUGUAAAAAAAAAGGUUUGUCGAGGUGGAGAACUGAAGGAGAAUGAGCAGUCUAUUCCAUUGAGAAGUCUGUAGCUUCAGUUGUUCAUGCCACUAAUAUUUAUUUAGAAUGUACUAUGUGCAAAGCAUUGUCUCUACUUCAGUUUGUCAUGACUGUCAAAAAAGAUUCUUGCCCCUAUGAGGCGUCGAAGAGUGUGGACAAAUAUAUAAAUAAACAAAUUAAUGAAAAAGAA